CAGAAUGUUACUUGUUUACCUGGCUAUCCAUGUCUAUAUGAUCAAUAAAUGGAUAAAUACAACUAUAGAGCUUGUACAAUUUCCUAGGAAAUAUAGUAUUUACUGCAUAGAACUUAUAUGAAUAUCACAAUAGUUCUCAGUUUUAGCAUUAUCUGAUCAUUGGAAUGAUUUUGGUAAUGGAAUUUGACUUUCUGUAUCUUGUAGACUUUAUAACGGUUUAUAUCAAAAAGCAUCAAUAGAAAAUAAGAAUUUAUGAACCAGAUUCUGAAGUCAUUAGGUGAGGACUCAAUCUUCUUGAUGUAGGUGAGAUUUUCAGUUCAACAUAUUAUGGUGAAAACAUCCAACAUGACAUGCACAUCUUCCCAGAACAAUACACUACUGAAGAUACUAUUUAUGAGGCAGCACGUAUAAAUUCAGAAAAUGAUGAGAUUGUGCACAUGUUCUUCUAGAUGAGUUCUCACAAUUAACAGUUGAAGAUGCAUCUGUGUCAAGAAGUUACCUGUUCUGCAGGCCAUAAGGAGGGCCAGUCAGAAGCGCGUGAUAUUGAACUCUCUAGUUCAUGUUCCAGCCGUGGAGAAAAAUCACGUGAUGGAGAAGAAGAAGAAGAUUAUAAUCUGGAGAUAACCGAUGAAUCUGCUUGGGAUGGAGAAGUGGAAAAGUGGUUGAAUCAAAUUGAACCUAUUCCUCAUGUUCCCAGAAUUAAUGGUGAUAUACCUUCUAUGGUAGAAAUAACAUCUGAUCAUCAAAGGCUAUUGAACAGAUUGCAAUUAUAUGACUUGGUUGUACGCAAAGUUCAAGGAGACGGUAAUUGUCAGUAUUUUUGACUCGGGCUAGAUCGCGUAACAUUGCAGGCAGAGCUGCUGAUGCAUAUGGUGUUAAGAUCAUAUUAUUUUCAUGUUUCAAGGAGACAUAUUCAAUUGAGAUACUUCCUAAAGAACAUAGAUCUAAACGAGCUCCAUCUCCAUCGUCUCCGGCUGAAGCAACAUCGCCGUGAAGGGCAUGUGCUGGUACACAUUUCCUGUAAAAUCAAGACUCUUCUGCAUCGACUGGCAUAAGUUCAACGUGCUGUUGGGGUGAGGCGGCGGCGGCGGAAGAACAGCAGACAUACCUGAUGGUGGGUUCGGAUGAGAUGUUUCCAAAAUUGGAACUUGGCUGACUGAAGAAGACACAGAUUGUUUAGGAAUUAUGCCGGUACCGGUGGCGGCGAUGAUAGAGGGUUCGGCUUGUCGGAGGAGCCACUCAAUCGUUUCUCCAUCGGAUCGAUGACCGAGUUCUCGGGUCAGUUGAAAGAUUCGUGCCGCGCAUAGAGCUGGCAUCCGAGCACGACGGCCACGACCAUUGACUUUUGUGUGUCGGUCCUUGGAACCUCUGGACGACUUUCUCUGGACAGCUAAUUUGUCGGGCCGACGGUGGGUGUCGACGGUGGUUUGGAUUGUGUCGGCUGGUGAGGCCAAGCUUUGAAGGAUCAUAUUUGAAGGGAAAGAAGAAUAAGGACAGAGAGUAGUUUAUUGUUGUUUGUAACUUUGUACAUAAAAUUAUAUAUAUUUAUAUAUGUAUAAUAUAUAAAUGAGAACAGAACUGAGUUUUUUAGGGUUUUCUUGAAUGAAGAAAGUGGGGCCGAAAUAGAGAGAGCAAGAAAAAAAAAAAAAAAAAAGGUGAGGUGGGGUCCAAAGUGAAUCUAUAUGUGGGCUGCUGUGGGCCCUCCGAGCCCAAGCUUAUAAAAGAAGUUUAAGUCUUUCAAUUA